AGAGGGGGAGUGUGUGGUCUGU
rnacentral:miRNA from 1 species